rnacentral:rRNA from 1 species
AGUGAACGCUGGCGGUAGGCCUAACACAUGCAAGUCGAACGGCAGCACAGUAAGAGCUUGCUCUUACGGGUGGCGAGUGGCGGACGGGUGAGGAAUACAUCGGAAUCUACUUUUUCGUGGGGGAUAACGUAGGGAAACUUACGCUAAUACCGCAUACGACCUACGGGUGAAAGCAGGGGAUCUUCGGACCUUGCGCGAUUGAAUGAGCCGAUGUCGGAUUAGCUAGUUGGCGGGGUAAAGGCCCACCAAGGCGACGAUCCGUAGCUGGUCUGAGAGGAUGAUCAGCCACACUGGAACUGAGACACGGUCCAGACUCCUACGGGAAGCAGCAGUGGGGAAUAUUGGACAAUGGGCGCAAGCCUGAUCCAGCCAUACCGCGUGGGUGAAGAAGGCAUUCGGGUUGUAAAGCCCUUUUGUUGGGAAAGAAAAGCAGCAGGUUAAUACCCCGCUGUUCUGACGGUACCCAAAGAAUAAGCACCGGCUAACUUCGUG